rnacentral:siRNA from 1 species
UCUCCAGAUUCAGGGACCAAA